AUAAAGAUGGCAGAGAAAAGUGCGCUAGUUUUAAGCAUUAGAAAAAAGGAGGAUGUCCUUUCUUUAUA
rnacentral:tRNA from 1 species